rnacentral:rRNA from 1 species
CACUAUGCUUUGCCCUAAACAUUGAUAGCCUUAUACAACCACUAUCCGCCCGGGAACUACGAGCAACAGCUUAAAACCCAAAGGACUUGGCGGUGCUUUAGACCCACCUAGAGGAGCCUGUUCUAAAACCGAUAACCCCCGUUCAACCUCACCUUUUCUUGUUCUCUCCGCCUAUAUACCGCCGUCGUCAGCUUACCCUAUGAAGGCCCCUUAGUAAGCACAAUUAGUACAACCCAAAACGUCAGGUCGAGGUGUAGCGUAUGGAAAGGGAAGAAAUGGGCUACAUUCCCUAUUACAGGUAAUUACGGAUAAUAUUACUGAAACGUGUAUCUAGAAGGAGGAUUUAGCAGUAAGCAGAAAAUAGAGUGUUCUGCUGAAACCGGCCCUGAAGCGCGCACACACCGCCCGUCACUCUCCCCGAACGUUUACCCACAACUUAACUUAAAACCUUACAUUAGUAAAGGGGAGGCAAGUCGUAA